AUUGAACGCUGGCGGCAUGCCUUACACAUGCAAGUCGAACGGUAACAGGUCUUCGGAUGCUGACGAGUGGCGAGCGGGUGAGUAAUACAUCGGAACGUGCCCGAGAGUGGGGGAUAACGAGGCGAAAGCUUUGCUAAUACCGCAUACGAUCUCAGGAUGAAAGCAGGGGACCGCAAGGCCUUGCGCUCACGGAGCGGCCGAUGGCAGAUUAGGUAGUUGGUGGGAUAAAAGCUUACCAAGCCGACGAUCUGUAGCUGGUCUGAGAGGACGACCAGCCACACUGGGACUGAGACACGGCCCAGACUCCUACGGGAGGCAGCAGUGGGGAAUUUUGGACAAUGGGCGCAAGCCUGAUCCAGCCAUGCCGCGUGCAGGAUGAGGGCCUUCGGGUUGUAAACUGCUUUUGUACGGAACGAAAAGACUCCUUCUAAUAAAGGGGGUCCAUGACGGUACCGUAAGAAUAAGCACCGGCUAACUACGUGCCAGCCGCCGCAGUAAAAC
rnacentral:rRNA from 1 species